CAUACCGAAUAUAAAAAAAACACUCAAUAACUUAUUACAAUUCUCUAAUAAAAAAUGUGGAUGAUCAACAAGUUUUUCUUCCUUCUUCCAGUUGCAUGCAUGGCCGUGUUGGGUACAGCUCAAACGUUGCCUUCGCAGCCUAUACCUGGACAGGACCCAAUAGAUUGUAUGUCAUCCCUGUAUGCUAUUCCGAACUGUCUCCAAGAAAUUGCCCAACCGUUUGUGAACGGAGAAUUCGGGACUAUCGGUCACUCUUGUUGUCAUGCCUUUUUGGGUCUCAGUGCAGAUUGUAUUACUGAGAGGUUUGCCUUAUUUCCCGAAUUUCCUCCGACUCUAAGGGAUCAUUGUUCCAGCCAAUGAUGAUAAUACCAAUUAAUGCCAUUUUCCUUUCGAGUCUUUGUUUCAAGGGGGUUUAUUAUUAUCCUACAUGUUCUAGGUCAUAAAAAUGUGCUAUCAAACAAUGUUAUGUUUCUGCUUUAAUAACAAGUUUUAACUUCAAUAUUUCAUGCUGAUGUAAACAUCUUGCGGAUAACUAAAUAAUAAUAAGGAUAAUUUCAUAUCUAUGUACUUUGGUUCAAAACCUCGUGAUAAUAAGAGCAAGUUUGGUGCCUCACAAAGCAUAUGUGUUCUCCUUUGGCUUUGAUUGGUCACGUUAAUACCACGCUUUGUGUUACUAUCUUGUACACGAAAUAUCUUUCGUGUGUGCAAGAGUAAAUAAUAGACUUAUAAGUAUAUUAUCUUGGUCUUUUGCAUUGAGUUGGUCUGAUUCAAAAGGUGGGGGUACAACAUUUACAGAUGAAGGUGAAAAGGCCUCUCUAUACCCUAAAGAAGGCUCUCGAAAAUGUUCCUCCUCCUAGAGACUUCAAAAUACUAAUGGUCAUCUGAACGUAGCUCCCUUUUUUUGGGUCAAAAUGUGAAUUCAUUUCAUAGAAAUGGCACUGAGAUACAAUAAACUUGAAUUCUUAAAUAGCCCUUUAAUUUGCUUAGCAUAGCUCCCUUUUGAUUUUCUUUUUCUGUUGGUAGGUUCUAGACUUCUAGUCGGUUAAUCUCUUAUUAAACAAACGAUCAGGGGAAAGGAAUCAGAUCUCGUUUUGGAAAAGAUGUCUCAGGAUGAGUUUUAUGUAGAACCAUUGUGUACAGAAAAGCUUCAUUGUCUCCCUUUCUUUUUUUAAAUGCCGCUCAAGCCAACAGAGACUAGUGUCCUUUAUGUCCAGCUAUUUUUUUGCCUUUCAUACUUAUACAUUGCAGAAAUGUAUAUUGUUCUGACGUUUUGAUCAAUUUUCCAACAGUGCAUCCUGGACAAAUCAUUGACUACGAUAAAUUGGUUCAUAAUUUAGAACUGAGUCCAUAAACCGAGUUCAAAUAACUAAGUAGACUUAAUAACAUCAAAGAUCACUCGUUUGGAGAGAGACCAACGAAUAUCAACCUUGAAGUUUUAUUACUGACUCUUGGAAGUUAGAAGAGAGAUACAUAUACGUCUAUUUACUUAAACAAUAAAAACACACAUGGAGUAGAUCAUUAGUGUCAGUUUUUUUUCCACAUUCUAUGUUUUUGAUCGACUAACACUACUCAGAAUUUUACCUUGAUUCAUAAUGCAUCAAACAAGUUCAAGAACUAGUGUAUCAGUAAAAAAAAGUUCAAGAACUAGCGUAGAUCGAUCAAACAGUUUAAGCAAAAUUAAUAUUAUUGCAGAUCAAUUGCUGUUAUUCUAGAACAAAUAGUACAAUACCAUCGUUUCAUAAUAUAUGAUAUUUUAGAAGGUUUUUGGUGAAAAUAUAAGAUAUUGAGAUGUUUUAAGAUUUAUUUGUUAACUUUACUAGAAACUGUUUUACCAAUUAAAAUUUUUCAAUUUUUUAUGAUUAGUUGAAUUACUUUUAAUUUAUAUUUUUAGUAAGGUAUUGUAGAGAGUGUUUCAAAAAAAAAAGGUAAGGUAUUGUAGAGAAAAGUAAUUUCCUAAUGUUCGUGUGUUUAAGCAUAACAUUCUACAUUACGAAACUUAGGGAGUAUUAAUUUCUAUCACACUAAUAAACCAUACAGAAUAAUAUUUGGAUAGUAAUCGCAAGAACAUAAAACCCCGUUAUAGCCUAACGAAUCGUACGUAGAAGAAUAAGAGACCGAAUAGUAAACUAUCAGGAGGAACCACCAAUAAUACGAAACAAACUGUAUUAACCUUUAUUUGGGGUCAUUCCAAGAGUGCCUACGUUAAUUGACAAAGAAACCGUUCACACAAAUGCAAUGUAAUAAAAUUUCACAUUUGAUUCUUGUCCUAUAUAAUAUCCAAUCACUGACUACUAUUAAAUCCAUACCAAAGUUUUUUUUUUAAAUAACUUAUUACGAUUCUCUAAUAAAAAAUGUGGAUGAUCAGCAAGUUUUUCUUCCUUCUUCCAGUUGCAUGCAUGGCCGUGUUGGGUACAGCUCAAACGUUGCCUUCGCAGCCUAUACCUGGACACGACCCAACAGAUUGUAUGUCAUCCCUGUAUGCUAUUCCGAACUGUCUCCAAGAAAUUGUCCAUUCGUUUGUAAACGGAGAAUUCGGGACUAUUGGUCACUCUUGUUGUCAUGCCUUUUUGGGUCUCAGUGCAGAUUGUAUUACUGAGAGGUUUGCCUUCGCUCCCGACUUCCCUCCGACUCUGAGGGAUCAUUGUUCCGGACAAUGAUGAUAAUAACAAUUAAUGCCAUUAUCCUUUCGAGUCUUUGUUUCGAAAUGUGCUAUCAAACAAUGUUAUGUUUCUGCUUAUUAACAACUUUUAACUUCCAAAUAAACACUAUCUUACCAGCUUUAGCCAUAUUUCAUGUUGAUGUAAACAUCUUGCGGAUAACUAGAUAAUAAUAAGGAUAUAUUACAUUACAUGUUAUGGUUUCCGACUUGAAAGUAUUAUGGUCUUGGUCCAAAAACUCGUGAUAAUA
rnacentral:lncRNA from 1 species